rnacentral:lncRNA from 1 species
AAUCUUUCGACGGUGAGUGAGAAUAGGAUGCACGCGACGAUAACACGAAUCCCGACAUGUACCUCGUCAACACGGUCCGCUUGGGCCCCAUCCGUGGACCCACUCGCUUCUGAUUCGGUCCUCAUAAAAUACGUAGCGGUUUCCCCGUCGGUGCCGCCUCCUAAAUAAAAUCCAAAGAAAAGCUUGAAACAACCGAGAAUCGCUAUGCUGAAGGAGCCCUCACGGAGUCACCCUGACCCACCGCAUCUCACCGUCUGAUCAGGUAUCCGUGCGAUGGUACGCAGAUCACGAGGCGCACCCGUGUGAGACAAAAGAGGGAGAACUGGAGAAGGAGCCAGAGCCCCAUGCUUUCUAAUCAUGACGCCGCACCGUGUGUCACAGCUUUUUUUAAGUUAUUUAUUUUCGAUUUUUUAAAUAUUUAUUUUCUUCUCCAAUUUACUAAGUUUGUUCCAUUGAUGGGUGGAGAUUGCGGGAGAACAUGACGAUACAUCAAAUCUGAUACAUCGAGUCUCGAUAAUUUUAAAAAAAAAAAAAGUUUAACAAUUUAUAUUAUGAUAUUUUGUAUACCGUGUUUUCGAAAUAUAAAAAAUUAUAAUGGGCAGCGGGUCCAGAAAGUGACGGAAGCAGGGGAGAUUUUUCUGUAACGUGCGCACCUGAUAGUGAAAACAGGCGGCUGCUGCGCACGUUAUUGGUGUCGCAACCGCGCCGCGCGACAAGGAUUGUCAAUCGGGAAACAAUGCCGGCGACAUGUCUGUU